rnacentral:snoRNA from 1 species
ACGACCUUACUUGAACAGGAUCUGUUCUAUAGGCUCGUACCUCUGUAUCCUUGAGUUCCAAGGAGACAGGAAUCUCAGUCUAGUGGAUGGAUAAUGACCAUGUGAUCAGAGCGUGAUUAACGACUGCAAUCUCAAGAUUUGGGUUGCCCCGGCAGUAGAGGAUCGUUCUCAGUCAUCUCUGAUCUGAUAGCUGAGAUGGUCGCAUGGUUGUCUGACAGACU